rnacentral:lncRNA from 1 species
GUACAUUAUGGCUCUCUCCUUGCCUGGAACUGGAUAUGAGAAAUGCUUGAAUUAAGAUCUGUGAAUUAUCUUAUUUUCUUGUCAGAAGGAUGCAGAUUGCCCAUACUUCAUAGCAGAGCAACAGGAGGGACUUAGGGACAAAAAGCUCAAAGGCAAGGAAGACUGAGGAAGCUAAGUUACUGGCCAUAUGUUUAAUAAAUAUAAGCUUAAUGGCAGUGAAUGUAUUAAUGUCAGCGAAGACAAGUCUAUGAAGUUAAACAGGCACAGAGAGGCUAAGAGUCUUGCCAAAGGCCACAGAGGAAGGAAGAGACUAAAUCUGGAACAAACUUUCUAUUCUCCAUUUCCAGAAGAAACCACUAAACCAUGCUUCCUCUUGUCAUGGAAGCUUAAAAUAUUUGGUAUGGUCAUCUUGCCUUUUUUUUUCUUUCCAGUGACUGUAUAAAGGCUUUCGAGAUGGUAG